rnacentral:rRNA from 1 species
AGGGUUCGAUUCUGGCUCAGGAUGAACGCUAGCUACAGGCUUAACACAUGCAAGUCGAGGGGCAGCAUUGGAGUAGCAAUACUUCAGAUGGCGACCGGCGCACGGGUGAGUAACACGUAUCCAACCUGCCGCUUACUCGUGGAUAGCCUUUCGAAAGAAAGAUUAAUACCCGAUGGUAUAAAGAGUUCGCAUGUUCUCUUUAUUAAAGAAUUUCGGUAAGCGAUGGGGAUGCGUUCCAUUAGAUAGUUGGCGGGGUAACGGCCCACCAAGUCUACGAUGGAUAGGGGUUCUGAGAGGAAGGUCCCCCACAUUGGAACUGAGACACGGUCCAAACUCCUACGGGAGGCAGCAGUGAGGAAUAUUGGUCAAUGGACGAGAGUCUGAACCAGCCCAAGUAGCGUGAAGGAUGACUGCCCUAUGGGUUGUAAACUUCUUUUAUAAGGGAAUAAAGUGAGGGACGUGUCCCUUUUUGUAUGUACCUUAUGAAUAAGGAUCGGCUAACUCCGUGCCAGCCGCGGC